rnacentral:rRNA from 2 species
CACCGCGGUUAUACGAGUGAGCCCAAGUUGAUAAAACCGGCGUAAAGGGUGGUUAAGAAAAUUACUAAAUAAAGCCGAAAGUUUUAGUAGUUGUUAAAUGCUUGCAAGAAUAAGAAGCCCAAAUACGAAAGUAGCUUUAUAACUUCUGACCCCACGAAAACUAGGGCA